AUUGAACGCUGGCGGCAGGCCUAACACAUGCAAGUCGAACGAGUGGCGGACGGGUGAGUAAUGUCUGGGAAACUGCCUGAUGGAGGGGGAUAACUACUGGAAACGGUAGCUAAUACCGCAUACCAUCAGAUGUGCCCAGAUGGGAUGAGCUAGUGGGUGGGGUAACGGCUCACCAAGGCGACGAUCCCUAGCUGGUGUGAGAGGAUGACCAGCCAAAUUGGAACUGAGCCACGGUCCAUACUCCUACGAGCGGCAGAAGUGGGGAAUAUUGCACAAUGGGCGCAAGCCUGAUGCAGCCAUGCCGCGGGUAUGAAGAAGGCCUUCGGGUUGUAAAGUACUUUCAGCGGGGAGGCGUUACCAGCAGAAGAAGCACCGGCUAACUCCGUGCCAGCCGCCGCGGUAAUUC
rnacentral:rRNA from 1 species